UCCCUUGUGGUCUAAUGGUUAGGAUUUGGUGCUUUCACUGCUAUAGCCCAGGGUUCAAUCCCCGGUCUGGGAA
rnacentral:tRNA from 1 species